CCUACGGAUGGCAGCAGUGGGGAAUAUUGGACAAUGGGCGAAAGCCUGAUCCAGCCAUGCCGCGUGUGUGAAGAAGGCCUUCGGGUUGUAAAGCACUUUCAGUGGGGAAGAAAGCCUUGGGGCUAAUACCCUCGAGGAAGGACAUCACCCACAGAAGAAGCACCGGCUAACUCCGUGCCAGCAGCCGCGGUAAUACGGAGGGUGCGAGCGUUAAUCGGAAUUACUGGGCGUAAAGCGCGCGUAGGCGGUCUGAUAAGCCGGUUGUGAAAGCCCCGGGCUCAACCUGGGAACGGCAUCCGGAACUGUCAGGCUAGAGUGCAGGAGAGGAAGGUAGAAUUCCCGGUGUAGCAGUGAAAUGCGUAGAGAUCGGGAGGAAUACCAGUGGCGAAGGCGGCCUUCUGGACUGACACUGACGCUGAGGUGCGAAAGCGUGGGUAGCAAACAGGAUUAGAUACCCGUGUAGUC
rnacentral:rRNA from 1 species